CUGGAGGGUGAAGUCCAGGGAGUUGCAGGCGUGUGAGUGUGUGUCGCUCGCUCAGGUCCAUGCUCAUGCACACGCCCACACGCCCACACGC
rnacentral:pre_miRNA from 1 species